UACGGGGGGGGCGAGCGUUGUUCGGAAUUACUGGGCGUAAAGGGUGCGUAGGCGGUUCGCUAAGUCGGAUGUGAAAACUCUGGGCUCAACCCAGAGCCUGCAUCCGAAACUGGCGGGCUAGAGUUCUGGAGGGGGUAGCGGAAUUCCUGGUGUAGCGGUGAAAUGCGUAGAUAUCAGGAGGAACACCGGUGGCGAAGGCGGCUACCUGGACAGAAACUGACGCUGAGGCACGAAAGCUAGGGGAGCAAACAGG
rnacentral:rRNA from 1 species